rnacentral:snoRNA from 1 species
AAGAAUUCAUCUCACAGGAUCUAUUCUGUAGUAAAUCUCAGUUGACAAACUUUUUAUAGUUUCCAGCCCCUCAGUCACGAUGAGAGACUCUCUCAUUUACCUGAGCGUGAGGUUGUGAUGAUCUAUCUUCUCCGCAAUGAUUCAGAUCACACCCUCGAUAUCAACGCGCCUAACUCUCGAGUUGGGCGGGUGAAUGAGGUGUCUGGGUGGC